rnacentral:tRNA from 1 species
CCCGGAUAGUUAAUCAUAAACACCUAGGUCGUGACCCUAGAAACAGAGGGCCCCCUCUUCCGAGCU